GACGGAGGGUGCAAGCGUUGUUCGGAAUCACUGGGCGUAAAGCGCGUGUAGGCGGUCCGAUAAGUCGGGUGUGAAAGCCCGGAGCUCAACUCCGGAAGUGCAUCCGAAACUGCCGGGCUUGAGUACGGGAGAGGGAAGUGGAAUUCCUGGUGUAGAGGUGAAAUUCGUAGAUAUCAGGAGGAACACCGGUGGCGAAGGCGGCUUCCUGGACCGAUGCUGACGCUGAGACGCGAAAGCGUGGGGAGUAAACAGG
rnacentral:rRNA from 1 species